rnacentral:rRNA from 1 species
CCAAACCUGGUUGAUCCUGCCAGUAGUCAUAUGCUUGUCUCAAAGAUUAAGCCAUGCAUGUCUAAGUAUAAACAAAUUCAUACUGUGAAACUGCGAAUGGCUCAUUAAAUCAGUUAUAGUUUAUUUGAUGGUACCUUACUACAUGGAUAACUGUGGUAAUUCUAGAGCUAAUACAUGCGUCAAAGCCCCGAUUCU